CCCGUUUCCUCCCGUAGAAGCACAACGACACGUUCGCUGCCUGGCGCAACGACGGAGCCGGAGCCAAACGUACGACAGACAUCGAAGAUGACGUGGGGGCCGAGAAGUAGGGUGGGGAAGCUAGAAGGGGUCGAGGGGAGAGGAGAAAUUUUUCGAGGGAGGGAGGGGCCGAAAGUGAAGUGUGGUGUUGAGCUGAGUGCGAAGAAGGAACCGACCGCGGUCAGGUUAGGCGAACGAAGGGGUGAAAGAAGGAACCGGUUCAAUUGGUCCAGCUGACUAGGUUAGGUAGCGAGGUCAGGUUCGAGCAAAGAAGUUAGGUUUCAGUUAGCGGGAGUAGGUUCUUUCUAGGUCCUCUUUGCUAGUCCCGUAGAGGAUUCGAUUUCUUUGGCACGCACGCACGAGGGACAGGUAUAGGUAGCGGUACCGGCCUCUACCUCUCACGAGACAGGAACGGGCACGUGUGGUGGUUGUCACGGCAGCCAGUGGGUCUUUGAUUCUCUCGUUCCCUCUCUCUUCUUUGAGAACGCGCGCCUUGAGAAAACCCAACAGAGAAACCCAAUCGCUCUUACGCCGUCGAGAGCAGGGACGACGUCCCCGACCGGGCUAGGUACCGAGACCCUUUCCUCUCCUUCCUCCUCCUCGUCCCCUGCCACGACGCCAGCAGCCCCUGCGAGGCCCCGCUCCCGAGGCUCUGGAACCGGCGGCAGACCAGGGCGGCGCCGCUCUUCCCGUGGUUGGUCCUGACGAGGUAGCAGACCCUCCCCAAGCCUGCGGUCCUCCUGUGAUAGAAGAGGCCGUAGAAGCUGCCGGUGCCGGUCACCCCGGUGAUGCAGAGGUUCCGGCAGGCCCUGAGCGACGGCGGCAGCGACGACACGGCGACCGUCCUCCGGCAGUGCGACCGCAGCGAGUAGCUGCCGCUCUUCUUCGAGACGCUGAGGGUCAAGCUGGAGACCUUCGUCAGGAUGGACCGGCGGCGGCGACGGCAGCUGCUUCUCGAGGCGGCGUCGUCGGCGGACCUGCGCCAGUUGUCACCGAGGUGACGAGACAGGCAGCAAUUUUUCCCACUGUGCUACCACUAGCGCUUGCACCCGCUGAGGGCUCGGCAGGACCCCUGGUGCAGCCUGCUGCCGUCGUAGCGUCGGCAGGUCGAGUGGCAGCUGAAGUUUGGGUUGGACGGAGUCCUCUUCCGCGCGUAGCACGUCACGUUCCCGGCGCACGUGACGGUGCUCCUGCUCGGGCCGCACGUGGCCCACACCGACGGGCUGGCCCUCCGCGGCCCCGAGCGGUACAGCGCACGCAAGCCGCUGAUGACGCAGUUCCUGAUGCCGCAGUAGAGCCGCGGCCUCCACUGCGUCUCCUCCUAGCGGCGGGCCCUAGUCAAGCAGUAGGACCGGUGGCUGCCCCAGACCCUGCACCAGAGGUUGCUUCUGCGCCACGUCUAGCACCGCCGGUGCCGCCUGUCCCUCUUCCGCCGCUUCGCGGAGCAGGUCACGCGGCAGGCACGGACCUCCGCGUUCGCCGUCCCGAUGCGGCAGCUGCUGACGAGCCGCUAGACGGAGAAGGAGGUGGUGAGCGGCGGUAGCAUCUGCCUGCCGAAGCAGGGACGUAACGGCACUUCUGGUUCCUUCCCUUUGUGCGGGCAGGAAAAGAACCAUCUUCUCACUCACGUCUGCAGCGCCAGUUUCUGGUUUUACCGUCUAGUGUCGUUUAGUCUCGCACGCCGUCAACCCGACCGCUAGCCCUGCCACCCGCUUGACGACGGCCACCUACUGGCCUUUUAGAGGGGUUUUACGUGCUCUUGGUUGUCGUCGGUUGCCGUUCCCCCGUUUACGUAAAAACAGACACAUACCGGGGCAGAGACAAUACUAUCCUUUAUCAGUGUUAAUAACGGAAUAGUCACAUGUAGUUAGUGUUGUCCCAGUAUGUAGUGGCGAAAACCGCGGCUAUUAAACGUGGGUUUUGUUAGCGUUAGAAUCCAUAAGACGUGACUACCACGUAGAGACA
rnacentral:rRNA from 1 species